rnacentral:rRNA from 1 species
CCAAGGUUUCCAGAGUAAAGCUGAUCUGCUCUGGGUAAGUCGGGGCCUAAGGAGAGGCAGAGAUGCGUAUCCGAUGGACAGCAGGUUUAAGAUUCCUGCACCCCUUGUUAUCAGAACUGCGGGGACACGGGAAGGGAAGCAGAGCCGGGAAUGGAAAGCCCGGUGCAAGCGAAGUAGUCGCAGGGUUGGAAAAUCCGCCCUGCAUGAGACGAAGGCGUGAUGCGGAGCGAAAUGAAGUAGUGAAGCUGCGGCCCCUUCCUGUCGAGAAAAGCCGCUAUCGUGUAGCAAGGGCCCGUACCGUAAACCGACACAGGUGGAUGAGGAGAGGAUCCUAAGGCCGGCGGGAGAAGUGUUGUUAAGGAACUCGGCAAAAUGACUCCGUAACUUCGGGAGAAGGAGUGCUGCGCAAGCAGCCGCAGAGAAAUGGCCCAAGCAACUGUUUAGCAAAAACACAGGUCUAUGCGAAACCGAAAGGUGAGGUAUAUGGGCUGACGCCUGCCCGGUGCUGGAAGGUUAAGGGGAGAGCUUAGCGCAAGCGAAGGUUUGAACUUAAGCCCCAGUAAACGGCGGCCGUAACUAUAACGGUCCUAAGGUAGCGAAAUUCCUUGUCGGGUAAGUUCCGACCCGCACGAAAGGCGUAAUGAUUUGGGCACUGUCUCAACAACACACCCGGUGAAAUUGAAAUACCAGUGAAGAUGCUGGUUACCCGCGCCAGGACGGAAAGACCCCAUGGAGCUUUACUCCAGCCUGAUACUGGGAUUCGGUAUUGCAUGUACAGGAUAGGUGGGAGGCUAAGAACUUAUGGCGCCAGCCGUGAGGGAGCCGAUGUUGGGAUACCACCCCUGCAGUACUGGGUUUCUAACCUGCGCCCGUGACCCGGGCGGGGGACAAUGUCAGGCGGGGAGUUUGACUGGGGCGGUCGCCUCCGAAAGGGUAUCGGAGGCGCUCGAAGGUCUCCUCAGGAUGGUUGGAAACCAUCCAGAGAGUGCAAAGGCAGAAGGAGGCUUGACUGCGACACCGACGGGUGGAGCAGGUACGAAAGUAGGACUUAGUGAUCCGGUGGCAUAAAGUGGGAUUGCCAUCGCUCAACGGAUAAAAGCUACCCUGGGAUAACAGGCUUAUCACUCCCAAGAGUUCACAUCGACGGAGUGGUUUGGCACCUCGAUGUCGGCUCAUCGCAUCCUGGAGCUGGAGCAGGUUCCAAGGGUUGGGCUGUUCGCCCAUUAAAGCGGUACGCGAGCUGGGUUCAGAACGUCGUGGGACAGUUCGGUCCCUAUCCGGCGCGGGCGCAGGAUAUCUGAGAGGAGCUGUCCUUAGUACGAGAGGACCGGGAUGGACCGUCCGCUGGUGGACCGGUUGUCGUGCCAAUGGCACGGCCGGGUAGCCAAGACGGGAAGGGAUAAACGCUGAAGGCAUCUAAGCGUGAAGCCCCCCUCAAGAUGAGAUAUCCAUACUCGAAAGAGUGAGAGACCCCUUAGAGACGAUGAGGUAGAUAGGGCAGAGAUGGAAGCACAGCGAUGUGUGGAGUUGACUGUUACUAAUCGGUCGAUAGCUUGUC